rnacentral:rRNA from 1 species
UACGGAGGGGGCGAGCGUUGUCCGAAGUUACUGGGCGUAAAGCGCGCGUAGGCGGGUGGGUAAGUCCGCUGUGAAAGCCCGGAGCUUAACUCCGGAGGGUCGGUGGAUACUGCCCAUCUUGAAGGUGCUAGGGGGAGAUGGAAUUACCGGUGUAGCGGUGAAAUGCGUAGAGAUCGGUAGGAACACCAGUGGCGAAGGCGGUCUCCUGGAGCAUACUUGACGCUGAGGCGCGGAAAGCUGGGGGGAGCGAACGGG